UGGGGAAUAUUGCACAAUGGGCGCAAGCCUGAUGCAGCCAUGCCGCGUGUGUGAAGAAGGCCUUCGGGUUGUAAAGCACUUUCAGCGAGGAGGAAGGUGGUGAACUUAAUACGUUCAUCAAUUGACGUUACUCGUAGAAGAAGCACCGGCUAACUCCGUGCCAGCAGCCGCGGUAAUACGGAGGGUGCAAGCGUUAAUCGGAAUUACUGGGCGUAAAGCGCACGCAGGCGGUUUGUUAAGUCAGAUGUGAAAUCCCCGGGCUCAACCUGGGAACUGCAUUUGAAAACUGGCAAGCUAGAGUCUCGUAGAGGGGGGUAGAAUUCCAGGUGUAGCGGUGAAAUGCGUAGAGAUCUGGAGGAAUACCGGUGGCGAAGGCGGCCCCCUGGACGAAGACUGACGCUCAGGUGCGAAAAGCGUGGGGAGCAAAACAGGAUUAGAUACCCUGGUAGUCCACGCUGUAAAACGAUGUCGAUUUUGGAGGUUGUGCCCUUGAGGCGUGGCUUCCGGAGCUAACGCGUUAAAUCGACCGCCUGGGGAGUACGGCC
rnacentral:rRNA from 1 species